UGUACCUUAAACCGACACAGGUAGGUAGGUAGAGUAUACCAAGGGGCGCGAGAUAACUCUCUCUAAGGAACUCGGCAAAAUAACCUCGUAACUUCGGAAGAAGAGGUACCCUUGAAAAAGGGUUGCAAUAACCAGACCCUGGCGACUGUUUACCAAAAACACAGGUCUCCGCUAAUUCGUAAGAUCAAGUAUGGAGGCUGACGCCUGCCCAGUGCCGGAAGGUUAAAGAAGUUGGUCAAUCUUUGGAUGAAGCUGGCGACUGAAGCCCCGGUGAACGGCGGCCGUAACAAUAACGGUCCUAAGGUAGCGAAGUUCCUUGUCGGGUAAGUUCCGACCCGCACGAAAGGCGUAACGAUCAGGGUGCUGUCUCGGAGAGAGACUCGGCGAAAUAGACAUGUCUGUGAAGAUGCGGACUACCUGCACCUGGACAGAAAGACCCUAUGAAGCUUUACUGUAUCUUGGAAUUGGGUUUGGGCCUUGCUUGCGCAGGAUAGGUGGGAGGCUAUGAAAAUAUUCUUGCGGGAAUGUUGAGCCAACGGUGAGAUACCACUCUAGUAAGGCUAAAAUUCUAACUCUGAACCGUUAUCCGGUCAGAGAACAGUUUCAGGUGGGCAGCUUGACUGGGGCGGUCGCCUCCUAAAAGGUAACGCAGGCGCGCAAAGGUUCCCUCAGGCUGGUUGGACAUCAGUCGUAGAGUGUAAAGGCAUAAGGGAGCUUGACUGCGAGACCCACAAGUCGAGCAGAGACGAAAGUCGGCCUUAGUGAUCCGACGGUUCCACGUGGAAGGGCCGUCGCUCAACGGAUAAAAGUUACUCUAGGAUAACAGGCUGAUCUCCCCCAAGAGUUCACAUCGACGGGGAGGUUUGGCACCUCGAUGUCGGCUCAUCGCAUCCUGGGGCGGUAGUACGUCCCAAGGGUUGGGCUGUUCGCCCAUGAAAGCGGUACGCGAGCUGGGUUCAGAACGUCGUGAGACAGUUCGGUCCAUAUCCGGUGCAGGCGUUAGAGCAUUGAAAGGAGUCCCCCUUAGUACGAGAGGACCGGGGGGAAUACACCGCUGGUGUACCAGUUAUCGUGCCAACGGUAAACGCUGGGUAGCCAUGUGUAGCGUGGAUAACUGCUGAAAGCAUCUAAGUAGGAAGCCCACCUUAAGAUGAGUGCUCUCACCGCUAUAAGCGGGUAAGGUCACGGUAAGAACAACCGUUAUAUAGGCAUUAAGUAUACGUGCAGUAAUGCAUUUAGCUAAGAUGUACUAACAGACCGGGGGCCUGAUU
rnacentral:rRNA from 1 species